GCCCCGUUCGUCUAGUGGCCGAGGACACCGCCCUCUCAAGGCGGAGAUCGCGGGUUCGAAUCCCGCACGGGGCACCA
rnacentral:tRNA from 1 species